UAUUGUAUACAUUAUUGUGUAUGUUUUUGUUUGUUUUAACCAUUGUUUUCUCUCCUUCUGUCAUCCACCCCUCCUUUUUCUCCUCAACUUCAAUCCCUGCUUCCUCUCCCUUCUUACCAUCUUACUUCCCUGCUCACCAUUACUUUUGCCACUCUCCUCCGCUUGACCCCUCCGCUGCCCACACCCACACACUCACUGAGCAUUCACUGAACUAAACCAAACUGAACCGUAAUUGGUCACAAUUGCCAAACAAUGACCAUCCAGUGGCGGUACCCGAGGUUGACUGAAGUGGGCUUGUGGGCAUCCCCUCUACCUCUUCUUCUCUACAGUCCUCUGUUCUCUUAAUUUCCACUAAACUGGAACACAAAUGCUAGGUUCAGCACGGAACCUAAGGACAACUCAUACCAGGCGUAUGACUCACGAAAGCAAUGAUGCUAAAAAGAAAUGGCACAAUGAAACCAAGCCCAACAACUGCUAAGUGGAAUCUUUCUCUUCUCUCUCAUGCCUGACUUAGAAGUUAAUUAAGAUGUUGCUUAUGAUACUGUAAUUAAUGAAAUUAUUAAUUAUGUGGUCACAUUUAUUAUUGUUUGUUAUUGUAACGGUGUGGCCCGAGUGCCGAAGGGCAUGGAACAGGGCGCACAGACUUCAUCGACAGAGACGAACAUUUAUUGACAUAACACGAGCAAUAAACGUGAACAGUUAACGGUUAACACUGAACAAAACGAUGAACACGACUACCUUUAAAUGACGAAAAGUACAAACCGAUGAAUACAAGUACCUUUAAAUGACGAAAAGUACAAACCGAUGAAUACAAGUACCUUUAACAAUGACGAAAAUUACGAAACAAUGAACACGACUACCUUUAACAAUGAUGAAAAGUACAAGUUUAUAGUGACGACGCGAACAUUUACAUCAACACGCUACAUCAACAAUGACCAACACUGCACACUUUGACAAGGGUUUAUAUGCAUAAAGACGAAGGAGCAGGUGCGUUUACAAACAAAAUAACCCUCCCACUGCACGUGGCGGGCCAAGCCAUGUGACUCGCGGGAGGCGAGCGUUCCGUGACAGUUAUCUAUUAGAUGUAGUUAGUAUUAUUCUCAGAAAUUUGGUUUAAAGUAAUUACAGCAUAACACCUACUUAGGAUGGCACAUCAAUAGUAGGAUUACCUGUAUAGGUUUUAAACUGCUAGCUCUUUAUUAGAAAAGUGAAAGAGAGGACGUAGUUAGUGGAAGAAUGGUCACAACUUCACCUCCGCUAUGUCUCGUUUCAGGUGGACUCUGCUUGCCUUGGCAGUGCAUGGAGGAGAUUCCACACCGAAACCAAAGACGCCAGUGAAGACAUGGAGUGGACACCAUAUGUUGAUGCCAGCCAGGUCAUUGAGUCUUUCCAGAAGCUGAGUCUCAGCAGUGUUGAGAUGGAUGUGGACCAGAACAUCAACAAUGAACUAGAUGACAUUGAGCAGGCUCUUCACAGACUGGAUCUGAAUGCUGAUGAAAUGGAGAUAUGCAAAUGAAGUGGUGGAUGACCACUUUAGGCCUUGCUCUUAUACAGGCUACAUGUGAUGAAUGUUAUUAGGCAAUUCUGUAAAUAUUGUAAAUAUGACUGUACAUAUUUCUUUGUUAGUUUAGUAUGUCUUGGUUUUGUUUUGGGGUUUGGGAAUUUUGGUUUGUUUAUUUUCUCCACUUAUUUAUUUUGGCAUUAAUAAAUGUAAUCAAGUUUUUGGUCCUCCAGAGAUUUUGGAGGGGGUGGUGGUAUGGGUGAAAAAAAACAAUAAUUCAAUAAUUGCUGUAGUUACUAAUAGUUAGAAGUCAGUCCCCUGAGUUUUCAGGGCAGUCUCCUAUCCAUAUUUAUUUGAUGAUCAGAUUUGUACAUUAUCAGUGUCUGAAGCAAAACAGAUCUGUAACUUUCCAAUCUUAAAAAAACAAACAAAAUACAUGAAUAAAACUUUCCAAUCUUAAAAAAAGAA